rnacentral:rRNA from 1 species
GGGUUGUGAGGUUAAGCGACUAAGCGUACACGGUGGAUGCCCUGGCAGUCAGAGGCGAUGAAGGACGUGCUAAUCUGCGAAAAGCGUCGGUAAGGUGAUAUGAACCGUUAUAGCCGGCGAUGUCCGAAUGGGGAAACCCAGUGCAAUUCGUUGCACUAUCGUUAACUGAAUACAUAGGUUAACGAGGCGAACCGGGGGAACUGAAACAUCUAAGUACCCCGAGGAAAAGAAAUCAACCGAGAUUCCCCCAGUAGCGGCGAGCGAACGGGGAGCAGCCCAGAGUCUGAAUCAGCUUGUGUGUUAGUGGAACGAUCUGGAAAGUCCGACGGUACAGGGUGAUAGUCCCGUACACCAAAAUGCACAGGCUGUGAACUCGAAGAGUAGGGCGGGACACGUGGUAUCCUGUCUGAAUAUGGGGGGACCAUCCUCCAAGGCUAAAUACUCCUGACUGACCGAUAGUGAACCAGUACCGUGAGGGAAAGGCGAAAAGAACCCCGGCGAGGGGAGUGAAAAAGAACCUGAAACCGUGUACGUACAAGCAGUGGGAGCACCUUCGGGUGUGACUGCGUACCUUUUGUAUAAUGGGUCAGCGACUUAUAUUCUGUAGCAAGGUUAACCGUAUAGGGGAGCCGCAGGGAAACCGAGUCUUAACUGGGCGUUAAGUUGCAGGGUAUAGACCCGAAACCCGGUGAUCUAGCCAUGGGCAGGUUGAAGGUUGGGUAACACUAACUGGAGGACCGAACCGACUAAUGUUGAAAAAUUAGCGGAUGACUUGUGGCUGGGGGUGAAAGGCCAAUCAAACCGGGAGAUAGCUGGUUCUCCCCGAAAGCUAUUUAGGUAGCGCCUCGUGAAUUCAUCUUCGGGGGUAGAGCACUGUUUCGGCUAGGGGGUCAUCCCGACUUACCAACCCGAUGCAAACUACGAAUACCGAAGAAUGUUAUCACGGGAGACACACGGCGGGUGCUAACGUCCGUCGUGAAGAGGGAAACAACCCAGACCGCCAGCUAAGGUCCCAAAGUCAUGGUUAAGUGGGAAACGAUGUGGGAAGGCACAGACAGCCAGGAUGUUGGCUUAGAAGCAGCCAUCAUUUAAAGAAAGCGUAAUAGCUCACUGGUCGAGUCGGCCUGCGCGGAAGAUGUAACGGGGCUAAACCAUGCACCGAAGCUGCGGCAGCGACACUAUGUGUUGUUGGGUAGGGGAGCGUUCUGUAAGCCUGCGAAGGUGACCUGUGAGGGUUGCUGGAGGUAUCAGAAGUGCGAAUGCUGACAUAAGUAACGAUAAAGCGGGUGAAAAGCCCGCUCGCCGGAAGACCAAGGGUUCCUGUCCAACGUUAAUCGGGGCAGGGUGAGUCGACCCCUAAGGCGAGGCCGAAAGGCGUAGUCGAUGGGAAACAGGUUAAUAUUCCUGUACUUGGUGUUACUGCGAAGGGGGGACGGAGAAGGCUAUGUUAGCCGGGCGACGGUUGUCCCGGUUUAAGCAUGUAGGCUGGUUGUCCAGGCAAAUCCGGAUAAUCAAGGCUGAGGUGUGAUGACGAGGCACUACGGUGCUGAAGUAACAAAUGCCCUGCUUCCAGGAAAAGCCUCUAAGCAUCAGGUAACAUCAAAUCGUACCCCAA